AACAAGCUUUGAUCCGCAGAUCUCCGAAUGGGGGAACCCGGCGCUAGAUUUCGUGUGAGCGCAUUGCAUGCUGCAAUUCAUAGGUAUGCAAGACAAACCCGGUGAACUGAAAUAUCUAAGUAGCUGGAGGAAAGGAAAUCAAAUGAGACUCCGUUAGUAGUGACGAGCGAACGCGGACUAGGUCUGUGGCUUGCGAUUAGAAACUGGAAUACCUUGGAAAAGGUAACCAUAGUGGGUGAUAGUCCCGUACAGGUAAGAAGGUUGUAAGUCCUUGAGUAGGGCGGGGCACGUGAAACCCUGUUUGAAUUUAGGGGGACCAUCCUCUAAACCUAAGUACCUCCUUAGCGACCGAUAGGUGAACAAGUACCGUGAGGGAAAGGUGAAAAAAAAACCCCGGUUAGGGGAGUGAAAAUAUAACCUGCAGGCGAAGUGUCGUACUCAUUUUGUUGGAGCCUAGGGUCCGGGGCUUGCUCCGGAUUCUGG
rnacentral:rRNA from 1 species